rnacentral:rRNA from 1 species
AGUGAACGCUGGCGGUAGGCCUAACACAUGCAAGUCGAACGGCAGCACAGUAAGAGCUUGCUCUUACGGGUGGCGAGUGGCGGACGGGUGAGGAAUACAUCGGAAUCUACUUUUUCGUGGGGGAUAACGUAGGGAAACUUACGCUAAUACCGCAUACGACCUACGGGUGAAAGCAGGGGCUCUUCGGACCUUGCGCGAUUGAAUGAGCCGAUGUCGGAUUAGCUAGUUGGCGGGGUAAAGGCCCACCAAGGCGACGAUCCGUAGCUGGUCUGAGAGGAGGAUCGGCCACACUGGAACUGAGACACGGUCCAGACUCCUACGGGAGGCAGCAGUGGGGAAUAUUGGACGAUGGGCGCAAGCCUGAUCCAGCCAUACCGCGUGGGUGAAGAAGGCCUUCGGGUUGUAAAGCCCUUUUGUUGGGAAAGAAAAGCAGCAGGUUAAUACCCCGCUGUUCUGACGGUACCCAAAGAAUAAGCACCGGCUAACUUCGUG